rnacentral:misc_RNA from 1 species
CUGGACUCAAAUUUUUUCUACUUUUGUUCUUUGGAUUGUCUUUGGGGUUUCUGGGUUUGGUUGCAGAAAGGUUGUUUUUAUUUUGAUGGUUUAUAUUUUUGCUUUUUUGGGUGUUUAAUCUUGGAGCGUCUGUGGAGUAUGAAUUCUAUCCCUUGCUUGAAGACGGGUUUAGAGAGAAGUUUGUACUCUUUGCAAGUUAUCAUUUUUAAUUUGCUCUGCUCGAUCGAUGAUCUUUUUCUGAGAGUUGUGAUCGACAAUGAUGCU